CACCAGCUCCUCAAAGGCGAUUUCUUCUGGGGGUGUGUUACCUGUGUCUACCCAGGCAACACCAAGCACCAGGUGACAGGCCACAUGAGCAGUGAGAGAAUGUGCAAACUCCACACAGAACGUCGCCGAAGGCUGGAUUUGAACCCAGUUCCUUGGCAGUGUGAGGCGGCAGUGACACCCUUAAGGUUACCUUGAAGGAUUCUCCUUCUUAACCCCUCCCUUCUGGUUAAACCACCAACUCUCUGUCGAAUGAGAGCCCUAUGGUCUGAUCAAUAGCUUCUGAAAUGGCUUGGCAAAUUCUCUCAGGUAAAGGCAAGAAUGGAUGGGCAGCAAAUGCAUGCCUUGCCCCUGGCACCCACAUCCCGAGGAUUAAAUUUUUAAAUAUCAAUGCAUAAUCUAACCAAAUGCCAAAAUAGGACAAAGUGCAUCAUGACUUAUUGUGUUUGAUUAAGGUGUGGAAAAGUUCUAUUACGAUAUUAGGAGCUUUUUAGAAUUGAAGUCUUUAUGAGAAAUAAAAUAUCAUUGGAAAUUUCAUCAUAUCACUAACUUUUACGUUUUAACACAAUAUCAACUUUAAAUCACUCAGUUGAUUUUUCAGUUGUUUGUUGGUUUGCCAAGCUGACUGGUUUUCAUGCAAACCUUUUGUCUCCUUUCUAUGUGACAUUGCCAGUACUGUGUCACCUCCGGUGAAGCGCUGUUGUUCUAUCCUGCUCUGAAUUUAUACGGUCCAGUCUAUCAUGGUGGGCAGUCUUGUUUUUGCUUUUGUACAAUGGCGGUAUGUAGA